AGUAAGAUACCUGGAGAAAAGCUGCAGUGAGAGGAGCUGAGAGAAAAUACUACUCCUCUCAGUGAGCUGUUGAGAUGCAUCUUGGGAAGAUGCUCAGGCUAUGAGUGUUGGAGAACAGGAGGCACGUCCUGUACCCAUAAAAACCCCAGGCUCCACUGGCAGACAGCAGACAAGGGGAGAAGAGACGAAGCAGCUGGACAUCGGAGACUACAGUUGAACUUCGGAGAGAAGCAACUUGACUUCAGAGGGAUGGCUCGAUGACAUAGCUUUGGAGAGGAGCCCAGCUGGGGAUGGCCAGACUUCAGGGGAAGAAUGCCUUCCUGCUUCAUCCCCUUUCCAGCUCCCCUUCCUGCUGAGAGCCACUUUCAUCGGCAAUAAAAUCCCCCACAUUUACCAUCUUCAAUUCGUUCAUACAACCUGAUUCUUCCUGGACACUGAACAGGAGCUCAGGAUACAGAGGGCUGUCACACCGAGCUGUUCAACACCUAAGCCAUUCAUGGAUGGCAGAGCCAAAAGAGCACUGACUGUAACACUCCCUCUGAGGCUUCAUGAGUUGUGGGCAUCCCCCAGA